AUGUUUUCUGGCGACAUAAGGUUCAAGAUUAUUACCAUUAUGCACUCCAUAUGGACCUCACGGAACCACUGGACACAUGACAGGGAUGGUUAUGACCCUGUUCAGGCGAUCAAAUGGGUGCAUGAAUCGUUGACAAUAUUGGAAUUGCCAGCAAGUAAAUCUAAGCUUUCUCCCAUGCAGUGUUGGCGGCCACCGGAUGUGGGGUGGGUGACAAUCAACACAGAUGGUGCGAUCAAUUCCGACGCUAUGAAAGGUGGAGCAGGUGGUGUUGCUCGCUCGCACCUAGCGUUCCUAGCAGCAUGGAGCAAGUCACUGCCCGGCGUGACAGACCCCUUCAUUGCCGAGCUCAAAGCAUUCCGGGAGGGAGUGAUCUUCGCCAACCUCCGUGGAUACUCACAUGUGGUCAUGCAAGUCGACUGCCUUGAGUUAGUCAACCUAUGGCACUCGCGAGACAAUACGUGA
rnacentral:rRNA from 1 species